rnacentral:rRNA from 1 species
GAUGAACGCUGGCGGCAUGCCUAACACAUGCAAGUCGAACGGGAAGUGGUGGUUCCAGUGGCGUACGGGUGAGUAACGCGUAAGAAACUGCCCUGUGGAGGGGAACAACAACUGGAAAAGGUUCCUAAUACCCCGUAGACUGAGGAGCAAAAGCAGAAAUCCGCCAAAGGAGGGGGUCGGGUAUGGUUAGCUCGUUGGUGAGGUAGUAGCUUACCAAGGCGAUGACGAGUAGCUGGUCCGAGAGGACGAUGAGCCAGACUGGGACUGAGAGACGGCCCAGAGUACGGCGGGAGGGAGCAGGGGGGGAAGCUUCGCACUGCGCGGCCGCGUGAAGGAGCACUGCCGCGUGGAUGGUGAAGGGCUACGGGUCGUCAACAUCCCCAGUCGCAGAAGACACAAUGACGGUACCUGAAGAAUAAGCAUCGGCUAACUCUGUG